UAAACACAACAGCAGCUGAAGUGAGGAGAGAGGUGAGAGCUUUCCACCAUUGUUACUAUUCACUUCAAACUUCCCAAGCUCAUAUCUUGAGCUACGGAGCUCCGAUCGCCGCACCGUUUGCGGCUACGCGUUCCUUGUGAAGAGAUCUACAAAACCCACCCAAGAAACCCUCAAGGUUUGCUCUAAUCCUUGCUUAGCUUUGGAUUUGUGUUGUCAAAUCUGUUGGGAAAGUUUGAUUAUUGUGGCUUUGGGAGCUUUUGGAACUUAUUUGUGCUUGUUGGAGUGGAUUUGAAAGCUUGGAUUGUGGUUGGAAGCUUGUUGGUGCUCAUUUUGAGUUUGGGUGCAUAAAGGGAAUCGGCCAAGGUAUGGUUUCGGUUUCCUCUAUGUAGUAUAUAAUAUUCAUGGACACAUAGGCUAGUGACCAAUAGGAUAGGUUGAACUAAAAUGAUGGUUGGUAUACUAAAUAUUGAUGAAUUGAUGAAUGUUGAGUUGAUUGUGAUGAAUUAUAAUGAUAUGAUGAUGUUGAAUGAUUGUAUGGAUUGGGAGUUGGUUCUUAUAAUGAUUGUAGUGUUAUGAUUUAUGAAAU